GAAAGACUGGCAAAACAAAACAAAAACCAGUUAGACUCAUGCUACUUCAGGGAUCUUCAAAGGAGGUGGAAGCAGUAGGGAUGAUAAAAAACAACAACAACAACAAGUACUUGUCAACAGUUACGACAUCUUGUCCAGAGGCACUCCGGCUGGAUUUACACCAACACUGCUACCUUUGGCUUCUGGCUUACCUGGUCUUCACAAAGCUGUGCGGAAGCCCUCCAUCUCACACAUUAUGCCAGCAGUUUCCACAAUUUCCAGCAAUAUUGACAGCGAUUCAGAAGAGAUCCAAGCUCGCAGCACUGCAGGUGAAUGUGAGUGCUGGCCUGGCCUGACUGCCCUCCUCACAGCUCCCUCCUCACAGCGACUGGCAAUGAGCUGCUCUUCCUCGGGUACAUGCUGGUGGCACCCAGUGGGACUUCGCAGGGGUCUGUAGGGGUCACGCUGCCAGCAGGAAUGGAGGGGAGGGAGAGACAAAAAGCUAGGAGAGACCCUGAAGAGCUGGACAUGCAUCAGCUAAUUCGGGUUGGGGGUUGUGUGGUGGCUGGUGGUGCUUGUGGGAGUGCAUUAACCCCUCUCAGAAGGAGUAGCAGCCAGCUUUGCUUGCUAACUUUGGCGAAGGAGAAGGAAAGGACAACUUCUAGUUCUGCACUGGCCUCCAGCUGGCUCUGUGGUAAUCAGCCCUCAACCACUCGACAAUAAAAUGCCAUCUUGCUGUCCCCA